rnacentral:rRNA from 1 species
CACGUAGGGUGCGAGCGUUGUCCGGAAUUAUUGGGCGUAAAGAGCUCGUAGGCGGUGUGUCGCGUCGGCCGUGAAAACCUGCAGCUUAACUGUGGGCUUGCGGUCGAUACGGGCAUCACUGGAGUUCGGCAGGGGAGACUGGAAUUCCUGGUGUAGCGGUGAAAUGCGCAGAUAUCAGGAGGAACACCGGUGGCGAAGGCGGGUCUCUGGGCCGAUACUGACGCUGAAGCACGAAAGCGUGGGGAGCAAACAGG